UGACACAGCGACGCGCGUGGGGGAUGAAGGCUUUCGGGUUGUAAACCCCUUUUCUCAGGGAAGAAUAAUGACGGUACCUGAGGAAUAAGCCUCGGCUAACUACGUGCCAGCAGCCGCGGUAAUACGUAGGAGGCGAGCGUUAUCCGGAUUUAUUGGGCGUAAAGAGGGCGUAGGUGGUUCUUCAAGUCGGAUGUAAAAUGUCCCGGCUUAACCGGGAGGGGUCAUUGGAUACUGUUGGACUAGAGGGCAGCAGAGGGAGGUGGAAUUCCCGGUGUAGUGGUGAAAUGCGUAGAUAUCGGGAGGAACACCAGUGGCGAAGGCGGCCUCCUGGGCUGUUUCUGACACUGAGGCCCUAAAGCGUGGGGAGCGAACAGGAUUAGAUACCCUGGUAGUCCACGCCGUAAACUAUGGACACUAGGUAUAGGGAGUAUCGACCCUCUCUGUGCCGAAGCUAACGCUUUAAGUGUCCCGCCUGG
rnacentral:rRNA from 2 species